rnacentral:rRNA from 1 species
UACGUAGGGCGCAAGCGUUAUCCGGAAUUAUUGGGCGUAAAGAGCUCGUAGGCGGUUUGUCGCGUCUGCCGUGAAAGUCCGGGGCUCAACUCCGGAUCUGCGGUGGGUACGGGCAGGCUAGAGUGAUGUAGGGGAGACUGGAAUUCCUGGUGUAGCGGUGAAAUGCGCAGAUAUCAGGAAGAACACCCGUGGCGAAGGCGGCUCUCUGGGACGGUACUGACGCUGAGACGCGAAAGCGUGGGGAGCGAACAGG